UACGUAGGGACCAAGCGUUGUUCGGAUUUACUGGGCGUAAAGGGCGCGUAGGCGGCAUGACAAGUCACUUGUGAAAUCUCCGGGCUUAACUCGGAACGGUCAAGUGAUACUGUCGGGCUAGAGUGCGGAAGAGGCGAGUGGAAUUCCUGGUGUAGCGGUGAAAUGCGCAGAUAUCAGGAGGAACACCAAUGGCGAAGGCAGCUCGCUGGGACGUGACUGACGCUGGAGACGCGAAAGCGUGGGGAGCAAACAGG
rnacentral:rRNA from 1 species